UCCUACGGGAUGCAGCAGUGGGGAAUAUUGCACAAUGGGCGCAAGCCUGAUGCAGCCAUGCCGCGUGUAUGAAGAAGGCCUUCGGGUUGUAAAGUACUUUCAGCGGGGAGGAAGGCAAUAAGGUUAAUAACCUGUUAUGACGUC
rnacentral:rRNA from 1 species